UCGAUUAGAUACCCGGGUAGUCCCAGCCGUAAACGAUGCUCGCUAGGUGUCAGGCAUGGCGCGACCGUGUCUGGUGCCGCAGGGAAGCCGUGAAGCGAGCCACCUGGGAAGUACGGCCGCAAGGCUGAAACUUAAAGGAAUUGGCGGGGGAGCACAACAACGGGUGGAGCCUGCGGUUUAAUUGGAUUCAACGCCGGAAAUCUUACCGGGACCGACAGCAAUAUGAAGGCCAGGCUGAAGACUUUGCCGGAUUAGCUGAGAGGUGGUGCAUGGCA
rnacentral:rRNA from 2 species